rnacentral:rRNA from 1 species
GGGCGUUAAGUUGCAGGGUAUAGACCCGAAACCCGGUGAUCUAGCCAUGGGCAGGUUGAAGGUUGGGUAACACUAACUGGAGGACCGAACCGACUAAUGUUGAAAAAUUAGCGGAUGACCUGUGGCUGGGGGUGAAAGGCCAAUCAAACCGGGAGAUAGCUGGUUCUCCCCGAAAGCUAUUUAGGUAGCGCCUCGUGAAUUCAUCUCCGGGGGUAGAGCACUGUUUCGGCUAGGGGGCCAUCCCGGCUUACCAACCCGAUGCAAACUGCGAAUACCGGAGAAUGUUAUCACGGGAGACACACGGCGGGUGCUAACGUCCGUCGUGAAGAGGGAAACAACCCAGACCGCCAGCUAAGGUCCCAAAGUCAUGGUUAAGUGGGAAACGAUGUGGGAAGGCCCAGACAGCCAGGAUGUUGGCUUAGAAGCAGCCAUCAUUUAAAGAAAGCGUAAUAGCUCACUGGUCGAGUCGGCCUGCGCGGAAGAUGUAACGGGGCUAAACCAUGCACCGAAGCUGCGGCAGCGACACUCAGGUGUUGUUGGGUAGGGGAGCGUUCUGUAAGCCUGUGAAGGUGGCCUGUGAGGGUUGCUGGAGGUAUCAGAAGUGCGAAUGCUGACAUAAGUAACGAUAAAGCGGGUGAAAAGCCCGCUCGCCGGAAGACCAAGGGUUCCUGUCCAACGUUAAUCGGGGCAGGGUGAGUCGACCCCUAAGGCGAGGCCGAAAGGCGUAGUCGAUGGGAAACGGGUUAAUAUUCCCGUACUUGGUGUUACUGCGAAGGGGGGACGGAGAAGGCUAUGUUGGCCGGGCGACGGUUGUCCCGGUUUAAGCGUGUAGGUGUGUGUUCCAGGUAAAUCCGGUUCACUUUAACACUGAGGCGUGACGACGAGGCACUACGGUGCUGAAGCAACAAAUGCCCUGCUUCCAGGAAAAGCCUCUAAGCAUCAGGUAACAUCAAAUCGUACCCCAAACCGACACAGGUGGUCAGGUAGAGAAUACCAAGGCGCUUGAGAGAACUCGGGUGAAGGAACUAGGCAAAAUGGUGCCGUAACUUCGGGAGAAGGCACGCUGACACGUAGGUGAAGUGAUUUACUCAUGGAGCUGAAGUCAGUCGAAGAUACCAGCUGGCUGCAACUGUUUAUUAAAAACACAGCACUGUGCAAACACGAAAGUGGACGUAUACGGUGUGACGCCUGCCCGGUGCCGGAAGGUUAAUUGAUGGGGUCAGCGCAAGCGAAGCUCCUGAUCGAAGCCCCGGUAAACGGCGGCCGUAACUAUAACGGUCCUAAGGUAGCGAAAUUCCUUGUCGGGUAAGUUCCGACCUGCACGAAUGGCGUAAUGAUGGCCAGGCUGUCUCCACCCGAGACUCAGUGAAAUUGAACUCGCUGUGAAGAUGCAGUGUACCCGCGGCAAGACGGAAAGACCCCGUGAACCUUUACUAUAGCUUGACACUGAACAUUGAGCCUUGAUGUGUAGGAUAGGUGGGAGGCUUUGAAGUGUGGACGCCAGUCUGCAUGGAGCCGACCUUGAAAUACCACCCUUUAAUGUUUGAUGUUCUAACGUGGACCCGUGAUCCGGGUUGCGGACAGUGUCUGGUGGGUAGUUUGACUGGGGCGGUCUCCUCCUAAAGAGUAACGGAGGAGCACGAAGGUUGGCUAAUCCUGGUCGGACAUCAGGAGGUUAGUGCAAUGGCAUAAGCCAGCUUGACUGCGAGCGUGACGGCGCGAGCAGGUGCGAAAGCAGGUCAUAGUGAUCCGGUGGUUCUGAAUGGAAGGGCCAUCGCUCAACGGAUAAAAGGUACUCCGGGGAUAACAGGCUGAUACCGCCCAAGAGUUCAUAUCGACGGCGGUGUUUGGCACCUCGAUGUCGGCUCAUCACAUCCUGGGGCUGAAGUAGGUCCCAAGGGUAUGGCUGUUCGCCAUUUAAAGUGGUACGCGAGCUGGGUUUAGAACGUCGUGAGACAGUUCGGUCCCUAUCUGCCGUGGGCGCUGGAGAACUGAGGGGGGCUGCUCCUAGUACGAGAGGACCGGAGUGGACGCAUCACUGGUGUUCGGGUUGUCAUGCCAAUGGCACUGCCCGGUAGCUAAAUGCGGAAGAGAUAAGUGCUGAAAGCAUCUAAGCACGAAACUUGCCCCGAGAUGAGUUCUCCCUGAGACUUAGAGUCUCCUGAAGGAACGUUGAAGACGACGACGUUGAUAGGCCGGGUGUGUAAGCGCAGCGAUGCGUUGAGCUAACCGGUACUAAUGAACCGUGAGGCUUAACCUUACAACGCCGAAG